AACGCACCUUGCACCCUUUGGUAUUCCGAGGGGUACGCCCGUUUGAGUGUCAUUGUAAUCUCACUCCAACAGCCUUUGCCGGUUGUGGGAGGUGGACUUGGACUCUGUUGUGUCACUACAACUGGUCUGAAAUGCAUGAGUGUACCCUGCUGUUGCGGCGUCUUCAGUGUGAUAAGCAUCCUCACUGGACAAAGUUCCCUUCUUGGGACACGCACGUGCGAUGGGCUCUACGCUUCCAACCGUCCUGCUUGCUGGACAAUCUUUGACAACUUGACCUCAAAUCGGGUGGGACUACCCGCUGAACUUAA
rnacentral:misc_RNA from 1 species